AAACUAACAAGGAUUCCCCUAGUAACGGCGAGUGAAGCGGGAAGAGCUCAAAUUUGUAAUCUGGCACUUUCAGUGUCCGAGUUGUAAUCUCGAGAAGUAUUUUCCGCGCCGGACCGCAUACAAGUCUGUUGGAAUACAGCGUCAUAGUGGUGAGAGCCCCGUAACUGAUGCGGAUGCCCGGUGCUUUGUGAUAUACUUUCGAAGAGUCGAGUUGUUUGGGAAUGCAGCUCAAAUUGGGUGGUAAAUUCCAUCUAAAGCUAAAUAUUGGAGCAAGACCGAUAGCGAACAAGUACCGUGAGGGAAAGAUGAAAAGCACUUUGGAAAGAGAGUUAACAGUACGUGAAAUUGUUGGAAGGGAAACGCUUGAAGUCAG
rnacentral:rRNA from 1 species